UAUGGGCGCGAGCCUGAACCAGCCAGUAGCGUGAAGGAUGAAGGCUCUCUGGGUCGUAAACUUCUUUUAUAUGGGAAUAAAGUUUUCCACGUGUGGAAUUUUGUAUGUACCAUAUGAAUAAGGAUCGGCUAACUCCGUGCCAGCAGCCGCGGUAAUACGGAGGAUCCGAGCGUUAUCCGGAUUUAUUGGGUUUAAAGGGAGCGUAGGUGGAUUGUUAAGUCAGUUGUGAAAGUUUGCGGCUCAACCGUAAAAUUGCAGUUGAUACUGGGUGUCUUGAGUACAGUAGAGGCAGGCGGAAUUCGUGGUGUAGCGGUGAAAUGCUUAGAUAUCACGAAGAACUCCGAUUGCGAAGGCAGCCUGCUGGACUGUAACUGACGCUGAUGCUCGAAAGUGUGGGUAUCAAACAGGAUUAGAUACCCUGGUAGUCCAAGGGCGAAUUC
rnacentral:rRNA from 1 species